UACGUAGGGGGCAAGCGUUGUCCGGAAUCAUUGGGCGUAAAGGAGCGAGCGUAGGCGGUCCGAUAAGUCGGCUGUGAAAGUCAGGGCUCCAACCCUUGAAAGCCGGCCGAUACUGUCGGACUAGAGUUCGGAAGAGGCGGAGUGGAAUUCCCGGUGUGAGCGGUGAAAUGCGCAGAUAUCGGGAGGAACACCAAUGGCGAAGGCAGCUCGCUGGGACGGUACUGACGCUGAGACGCGAAAGCGUGGGGAGCAACAGGAUA
rnacentral:rRNA from 1 species